UGUUUUUUUUAGCUAACAUCCGCGACGUGCAAACCGCAGCAACCCGUGUUUAAAAAAUGAAGCGGAAAUGUUCUGUCCCAAUGGUAAUUAGAAUUGCCACCACUGCCAGUGUUGUAUUUGGAUCGAUUAUUUGGUAGAUAAAUUAAUCGAAAAUACAACCUGCGAUAUUGUAAGGGCUCGUUAGGUCGGUAUCAUAAAGAAGGUAAAUGUCAGGAAAAAUUAAGGAAAAGCCGAAAAGCGGAAAAAUGCCGCGUCAUUCCCGUAGGUAUAAAAGGGGGAAAAAGGAAAACGCGCCCUUAUUAUUCAAGUGGUGCGACAGUAAAAUAGUGGUCAUAAAAGCAAUAAAAGCCUCGAUAUUUAUUUUAUUAUUUAUGGUGAAGGCGUUAGUAAUUGAUUUGUUUCGCCAAAAUAAUUUAAAUUUCUCGAGGGUAUCAACUGGCCUCCUCGGCGAACAAAAGCGGAGAGGUCAGCCCAUCUUUGACGGCCACAGCAACCACCACAACGCAAAAUUGAGGCCCCAGCAACCGCCUCCAUAACACCAAUUCCCUUGAUCCAUGAUAUCCGGGUUCUGCUUUAUCCUGGUGGACGAGGUCGCGGAAGAGUGAUCCUGGAAAAGAACAAAGCAGGUUGUACUAAAGAAUGCAAAAAGCCAGGUAACAAAGUUAUUUAUUAAACUUACCGCUUGUUUGAUACAACCACUGGCAUAAAAUAAAAACCAGAACCAGGAGGGAGACCCUGCAACAGAAAAAAGGAGAAAUUCCAUUAAAUAAAAUUUUAAGAAAAAGCAAAAGGCAGAAAAAUUCAUAUAAAUUAAGAGAAAGAACUAAUAUAAUAUUCAAAUUUUUAAUUAAGAUAAUAUAUUUAGGUUAAGUUGUGUUGUCUAAGUUUAUUAUUUGUGUUUUUUUUUGUGUCCAGCAUAAAUGUUCUUGUUUUUGUGAGGGACAUUAACUAUUCUAAAUUUUAUAAGUAAAUUGGAGUGUAGGGUUACCCCAAAUUACUUUGAGUGUUAUAAUCGAGAUUUUUUUUGAGGUUCCGUUGAAUAUUGUGGACCAGUUUGCGGGUCCCUCACCACCUAAGAGAGCUCGUUUAGGCAGGUACUAAUUGCAUAACUUAGAAAGUCCAAAAUUUGGUGACAUUUAGUGGACUGAAGUAAUGAAGGGUGGUCUGAUAUAUAUGAACUCCUCAAACAAUGACUAAGAGAUCCUGAUAGUUAAUGUUUCAAAUUUCAGCUUGUUUGUUCUAUUUUAAGGAAAUCUUAUAUACUAAUAAAUUGUUCGUAAUAUGAUUGUUUGUGUAAUCAUGAUUGUCUAGUUCAUUCAUGAGAGAGUGAAUUUGGUGUACAUUGUACUGAGGGGAGUGGGUGUGGAAUACGGGGCCCUGAUAAAAUUGACAGUUAUGUAGGAUCUCAGGGUCAAGGUUGGGCGGGCUAGUGUGGGAGUGGCAAUAUCAAACUCCUUUGUUCCAGGUGUACGUAGUGUUUGUGUUAUGUAGAAUUUGUAUUUAUCCAUUAAUUGUUUAAUUGUUCGUCCCCAAGGCUAUUGGUGUAUGGGAUGGAACCAACCCCUGAACAUGGCUCCUGAGCUAGCGGCCACAACACCAUAGUGCCGAAGCAGGUGGCACGUAACAAUAUGGCGCCCAAGCGAAAGCUAUAAUGUCUUAAAUUCAGUGCAAUAACAGCUUAGCACAGUGCAAUAAACUAUAGGGUUCAAAUAGGCAUAAGCGAAAAUCACAUUUUCUUACAACGAUUAUCUCAUGUUGCAGACGCAGCUUUAAUUCUUUAAAAUUUGUGAUAAACGUGCAAUAGUAGAUGAGGUUUUUAGAAAAUUAGGAUUGUCGUUCCAACUACAAGGGUCAGGUGCAAUAAUCUUGUUAGUUCCAUGUAACAAUGAAUGUAUUGUGUUUUAUGACCUGUUUUUUUUUUGUGUUUCUGUAUGUUUUAUUUUAAAGUAGAAAAAAUAGACGUAGGGUAUAACCUAAGGGAAACGUGCAAAGCUUGAGGUGAAGCAUCUCAAUGUGCAUUGUACGGAAGUACUUGUUCACGAGAUCUUUUUCGUUAUUUUCUUUCGAAAACUGCCGUGGUUUUACCCUCAAAUUUAUGUUUUUAUGUAAUUUUUGUAUUUAUUGUUUCGAAGUCGUCAAAUCGAGAUGACAUAAGAGAGGAAAAGUACAAUAGCGUUCGUGAAGAAGUUUUCGCAAACUGUAUUGUACGAAAGAAAAUUUAACCUCCUUCACGAGAUCCGUAUUCUCUUAUGAUGGGAAAACUGCCGUGGUGGUCGUCUCUAAAUGUUUGUCUUUGAAACAAAAUAAAUAAGUGAAUAUGUAAAGUCCAGUCUAGCAGUACACCAGAACAACCGUAAAAGGACACUUAUAAUGCGUGAUAGGAUUUCUUAUAACAUAAUGAAAUAAGUCCACACACUCAACCUCAAAAGCAAUUGAAAAAAAAAAAAAAAAAAAAAACACCAAA